rnacentral:rRNA from 1 species
CAACCUGCCCACCACUUGGGGAUAACCUUGCGAAAGUAAGACUAAUACCCAAUGAUAUCCGUCGAAGACAUCUGAAAGUGAUUAAAGAUUCAUCGGUGAUGGAUGGGGAUGCGUCUGAUUAGCUUGUUGGCGGGGUAACGGCCCACCAAGGCGACGAUCAGUAGGGGUUCUGAGAGGAAGGUCCCCCACAUUGGAACUGAGACACGGUCCAAACUCCUACGGGAGGCAGCAGUGAGGAAUAUUGGUCAAUGGGCGAGAGCCUGAACCAGCCAAGUAGCGUGCAGGAUGACGGCCCUAUGGGUUGUAAACUGCUUUUAUAAGGGAAUAAAGUGAGCCUCGUGAGGCUUUUUGCAUGUACCUUAUGAAUAAGGACCGGCUAAUUCCGUGCCAGCAGCCGCGGUAAUACGGAAGGUCCGGGCGUUAUCCGGAUUUAUUGGGUUUAAAGGGAGCGUAGGCCGGAGAUUAAGCGUGUUGUGAAAUGUAGAUGCUCAACAUCUGCACUGCAGCGCGAACUGGUUUCCUUGAGUACGCACAAAGUGGGCGGAAUUCGUGGUGUAGCGGUGAAAUGCUUAGAUAUCACGAAGAACUCCGAUUGCGAAGGCAGCUCACUGGAGCGCAACUGACGCUGAAGCUCGAAAGUGCGGGUAUCGAACAGGAUUAGAUACCCUGGUAGUCCGCACGGUAAACGAUGGAUGCCCGCUGUUGGUCUGAAUAGGUCAGCGGCCAAGCGAAAGCAUUAAGCAUCCCACCUGGGGAGUA